rnacentral:misc_RNA from 1 species
UUUUUCAUUUUUGUGUAAAUGGAACAGCUUGGAGAACUGGUACUACAAGGUGCUAAUUGUGAUGACUGGUAAUUUGGAGAAUGCUAAACUUGCUUUGGAUGCAUUAUCCAUCUGCAUGAGUAUAAAUGCCUGGGAAUUGAUGAUUCCUCUUGGAUUUUUUGCUGGAACUGGAGUAAGAGUAGCAAAUGAGUUGGGAUCUGGAAAUGGAAGAGGGGCAAAAUUUGCAACAGCAGUAGCAGUGAUACAAUCAACAGUGAUUGGAUUAUUCUUUUGGAUUUUGAUCAUAUUUUUCCACAAUGAAUUUGCCCUAAUUUUCUCAACUAGCAAACCUGUUCUUGAAGCUGUUCAUAAACUAGCUAUUCUAUUAGCUUUCACUGUUUUACUCAACAGUGUUCAACCUAUUCUCUCAGGGGUUGCUGUUGGAUCUGGAUGGCAAGCAUAUGUAGCAUAUAUAAAUUUGGGCUGUUAUUAUUUAAUUGGAGUCCCUUUGGGCUUCAUUAUGGGCUGGGGUUUCCACUAUGGUGUCAUGGGAAUAUGGGCUGGAAUGAUCUUUGGUGGAACUGCAAUUCAGACUUUGAUAUUGGCUAUAAUCACAAUUAGAUGUGAUUGGACUAAAGAGGCAGAGAAGGCUUCAAUGCAUGUAAGGAAAUGGGACAAUGUUGAUCACUUGACUUCAUAGAAUUAGCGAUGAAUUUUGCUAAGUAUUAUGAUGACGAAAAAUAUAACAAGAAUAUUGAAUAUUUUUAUCUCGAAAAUUUGUGCAUUAAUUUAAUUUUCAGUCUAAUCAAGCUAGUUGUAAUUUUUCUUUUCUACACAGAAGUGUUCUAAUAUAUGUAUAAACUUAAUGAAGUUAAUUG